UACGUAGGGUGCAAGCGUUAUCCGGAUUUAUUGGGUUUAAAGGGUCCGUAGGCGGAUCUGUAAGUCAGUGGUGAAAUCUCACAGCUUAACUGUGAAACUGCCAUUGAUACUGCAGGUCUUGAGUGUUAUUGAAGUAGCUGGAAUAAGUAGUGUAGCGGUGAAAUGCAUAGAUAUUACUUAGAACACCAAUUGCGAAGGCAGGUUACUAAGCAACAACUGACGCUGAUGGACGAAAGCGUGGGGAGCGAACAGG
rnacentral:rRNA from 1 species